UGUGCAGGAGAGUGCUAGUGUACAGGGAUCGCUAGUUGACGCAGACUUGGUGGGCCGAAUGGCCAGUUUCCACGCUGUAUCUCUAAACUAAACCAAACAACGUUAUGUAUUUCACAAAGUUAUCAUUCUCUCCUCAUACACUUGCCUUUUUUAACACGCGCUUCAGACAGGUAAGCUCUGUAGAACAAACAUUUACUGCCAUCAAUCAAUUGGCACCAAUAUCAUCAGUGUCCACCUCAUCACAUAUCAUUCUCCUGUCUCUCCACCUCUACUUCUUCUGUGCAAGUAAACUCAAAAUCUAUUUGUUUUCUACGUUUUCUAAAGAAAGUGGCAAUGAAAGAUCAAUGAAACGUUAACUUGUCCCUCUCUGGCUAGCUACUACUUGAUGUGUCAAAUAUGUGGAACUGCAGAUGCU